UCACAUAAACAUUACAUCAACUAUAAUCAAUCAGCAUAAAUGUCUACCUCCACGGAAUUAUCUAACAAAGCUAUUGAAUCAGACGAUAAUGUCGUAGAACUUUCCAUGAUCUGAUGGACAAUCGGUGGAGAUUGAAGAGGCUGAGGAGGUACUUCUAGCGCUUCAACUUCGCCUUCAAGCAUUUGUACUACUUUACUCAUUGAAGGGCGUUGUAUCGGAUUUGUUUGUAUGCACCAUAACGCAACCAAACUCAGCUUUCUAGCCAUCUUCUUUUCAUCAUCAUUCGCUUCUUCAUCUACCACAAUCUCUUUCCCCUUGUUGAACUUAUCGUAAAUAUUAUAAGGAAAAUAUUGGCUGGAAUUCUCUUCAUUUGCAACUUCAUUUCUAUUCAAGUCCAACAUUCCCAUUAGCAGCAUUCCGAAGCUGUAAACAUCAGCUUUAUACGAGAUUGCUCCAAUGCUUCUGCUGAUCAACUCUGGAGCAACAUAUCCAAUCGUUCCACGAGCAGCUGUGAGAGUCACAAUGCUCUUAUCUGUUGGAUAUAGUUUCGCAAGCCCAAAGUCAGAAAUCUUUGGAAUGAAAUUCUCAUCCAAGAGAAUGUUGUGUGGUUUGAUGUCAAAAUGCAAUAUUCGUACAUCACAGCCUCGAUGCAAAUACCCGAUUCCUCGAGCCACUCCAAGAAUAAUGUCAUACUUCCUCUGCCAACUUAACAGAGGACUUCCUUCUUGAUCAGUCCUGAUGUACUUAUCAAGUGAUCCAUUGGACAUGAAGUCGUAUACAAGAGCACGCUUUGUUCCCUCAACGCAAUACCCUGCGAGUCCAACCACGUUGACAUGAUGAAUCCUUCCGAUGGUAGCUACUUCAUUCAUGAAAUCUUGCCCAUCAGCUUUAGGCUUGCUCAACAUCUUCACAGCUACAUACCUUCCACUUUGAAGCUUUCCUUUGUACACAGUUCCGUAACCUCCCUCGCCUAAUUUCUCUUUGAAUCCUCUGGUCAUUCUCUUUAUGUGGGAGUAAUUAUAUCUUAUAGGCAUGAAAUUGUUUUGCGUUUGCAAGAAGCGUUCAAUCGUAUCGUACAUUGACAAAUGCCUCCUUUUGAAUUUGUACACCAGAAAUGCAAUUACCAACGGAAGGCCUAUCACAAAUUUCGCUCCCCAAUACACUGCAAGUUUAAGAAGUCAUAACGAACCAUAGAUAUGAGAAAACACUCUAUCAGUGUUAUGUUCAUCUGUGUCCAUCCAAAUAACAUAUAGAUUGCUAAAGGGACAUGUAGGAGCUUACACACGUAAAGCUGACGUAGCGAUAGAAAGAUCUCUAGUUAGGUUAAAGUAAAAAAAUUUAGAAUGAGAGAUCAAUGGAGAUUAAAAGUAUAUAUAGAUAAAAGUUUGAGUCCUCACCGGGAAACAACGGAAGAAACCCUACAAAGACGUGAAAAAAUUAAAAUUUUAGUGAGUGAAAGCGGAGAAUAUAAUUAAAUAAUAAAAGUGUGCUCUAUCUAACAGCUUAAGCUUUUAGAUGAUAUGGUCACAUAUUUCAACGGUGAAUCCAUUGUUUAUCUACAUUUAGAGGAUGGAAAAGAAUGUUUACCACUCGAAGAAUAAGGAAACUCAAAUCCGUAGAGAAUUGCUUGAUGAAUAUUAGAAUAGGAAAUGUUGUUAAUAUUAGGCCAUGAGGUUAAGCCUAUAAACUCCGCUUUGCAUCCAUCACUCACUUGAGAGACUUUCAUUUCUCCAAUCUUUAGGUAAGUGUAUUUGCUUGAUUUGCAGCCGCUAAUUUCCACAAAUGUCGAAUCAUCAACACCAGAUGGACAAUUGAACAUGAAAAUGGGCGUGGCUACUCUAUACCGUGAUGCAUAAUAGUAUCGACAGAAGAAAUUACCGUAUUGUUGAAAGUUAAGCUUAGAAGGUAGGAGAGAGCAUAGAUCAUGUGUUUGUAAAGUCGGAUCUACCAAAUGAAUUGUGUUAUUAGCAUAGUCGAUGCCUUGAACAUGCAACUUCUUGGAGGAUAACCAUAUAACGGUUUGGUUACCUUCACAAGCUAAUUCAAAUCCUGAAAAAACACGACAAUGUUUUGGAUCAGUGUUUAAAUGAAAAGGGUAUUUUAUGCUACGGAUAUCGCCACAGGCAGAAUCAGGACAGUUGAUCUUCCAAGCAUUGGAUGUUUGCAGAAAUAUGAUUUGAAGGAUUAAUGUGAAAUAUCUAAGCUGAGAGUUUCCUUUAGACAUUUGUGUGUUACUCAGGUUCAACUGAGACUUUGCAAUAAUUGUUAUUAUAAUAUAUAUGAGUAAAAAUGCAAUUAUUGAAGCUUUGUAGACUUUUCAUUACUCCAUUGGGUCCCAAGCCAAUGGAAGACUUGUGGUGUUUGGUCAUUGAUUGGGAAGUUGCAAGGGCCAUCAAGAGGAAGACUUUGACGUUUACCAAUUUAUUAGUGAGGGAGAUGGAUAUGCCAAACACAACAUUUACUCAAACAGUGUAUUUGUGUUGAACGGUUGUGACUUUAUAUAUUUACUAGUUUCAGAAACGUGCGUUGCACGUUUAUAUUUUAUAUAAAUUUUGUUUUGUAAAUGACAUAUUUUCUCCAUUUUAAAUUUAUUGGUAUUUACUAAAAAAUCAUUGUUUUUUGAUAAUUAAAAUUCAAGUUUCAUAAUGUUCUUUUUUGGUAUAGACAAGAUAAAGAUAAAUAUUUAGACUCAACAAUUUUAAGAUCCAAUAGGGAUAAAACUAUCACUGCUACAUGAAAUUAGAUCCUUCAUAAUACUCUUCUCUCGAACUAAUUAGAGAGUGAUAUAAUAAUUAUAACUCAUGAGGGUUAUUUAAAAAACAAUUUCACAAAUGAACUGAAAUAAACAUAUUUAUUUUGAUUCCUACUUCACGCGAGUAUUGAAAUAUUAUUAUUAGAUAAAAUGAAAGAAAUUAGCGAAGUCAUAACAUUCUUGCAAUUAACACAACUUCCAAAUCUUCUUCAAAUCAGAAACAUCAAACAUCUUAAUAGAAUAAUACUCAAACGUAACUAACUAAAUAAAAACAAUAGGGAAAAAAAGAGGUAUCAGCUUAAAUCUUGAACAAACAGAUGCACACUUUUCAUUUAUUCAUGCCAAUAACAUUUUUAACUAUAUUUAUCGGCCCUUGUAUGGAACCCUUUAAUUGACACAUUAAAGAUAAAUAAUGAAAGAGAAGAAGAGGACAUGUGGUAUUGAAACUCCAUAAGAAAAUCUCAAUGAAUUUACCAUGCUUAACUAAAGUGACUAUUUAUAAAAUUCUAUAACUAUAGUUGGAAGUUGAAAAGACCUUACAAACAUUGAAUUAAUUUAGUAAGAUGAAAAGUUAUUUUAAAGUAUUGAAAAUGCUGAAAUAAAUGACAAUUGCAAGCAUAUUAAUUCACCUCUUUGUAUACCCAAAUACUUAAUUGAUUUUUAUUAAAAUUUAAAUAUGCCAUGUAUGUGUACAUUAUGGUGUAGUGUUGAAUAUGAUGAUUUUCUUCAUUAAUGAUAGAAUAUUUAAUUAAUAUAUUUAUAAUAAUUUUAUUUAGUGUAGGAUAAAAUGGUAAUUCAACUUUUAACUUUUUUUGUUCCCUCUUAUAAUAAUAUAUGAUUUAGGAAAAAUUAGCAAACUAAUCAAACAACCUAACGUAAUUAGUAAAAACCUUCAUACAUUAUAAAUAUUAGUAAAAAUGUCAAAAUGUCAUUAUUUUAGAAAAGAUUGUGUAUGUUAAUUUGCUUCCUAUUUUAUCUCAUUUUAAUUACAAGUUUUUCAAUUAAUCAUAUCUCUCAUAUGUUUUUUAAAAAUGAAACAUUUCCUCUCUCUCAUUUUUUUAUCUUCGAAUUCUUCUCCAUUUCAAAAUUUUCCUCUCUCUCUUCCUUCUUUUUUUUUUCCAGUAAUUGAAAAAUAUAUUUUAUUAAGAUAUGCGUCUUUAUCCGUUUUUUAAUAUUUGUUUUAUGAUUUUAUUUUUGUUUAAUUUGUUCAAAAUUGUUGUGUAAUUGAAAUCACGUUUUGAGUUUGAUAAACUCUAAAUCACUUUCCAAUGGCAGAAUCUAAGAGGAUUGCUAGAGGUAUCCAACAGUUGGAAUGUAUGCAUCCACUUAUAUUGAUGGGACCAGUUCCUCAUGCACUAAAGUCAGACAGUAAAGAACAAGUGCAGAAACGUAAAGAUUGACAAACAACUUUACGUGGAAACCUUUUUGCUCAAGGGAAGAAAACCACGACUUGUUCUCAAUAGGACUUUUAAAACUGCUUUCACUAAUCGUCAACAAGCAAAAGUAAAAGUCGGUUACAAUAAGAGAUUAGCCUGCUAAUCUAUCUCCCCACUAAGUAAUACUCCUUAUCACUUAGCUGAGUCUGAGUAGAUACAACACUACUCUCUAUACUAAUCCUACCCGAUUAAUAUAGAUUUAGAGUAAGAACCUAAGUUACCCUUAACCUAGCCCUUACAAUGAUUCACCCAAGUUUGAAACGUUUCUUUCACAAUUGAAACGAAUCCUACAAUAUAAGAAAAAUUACAAGCAACCAAAUACAACAAAUACAAAAAGAAUUAAAUGCACUUCGAUCAGUUCCUUUGCUGUUCUUUGAAGCUUGAAAUUUCUCUCUUUGAAUGAAUGAAUGAAUCUUGUUGUUUUUGUUUGAUAUAUACCAUGAAGAGUUAUUACCCAUCAAACAAAAACCUCGUCACUUCUGAUUGGUGGAGUACUCUGUUGCUUCACCAACUUUCUGAUGCGGACAACUUUUACAUUUGUACUACACUUUAACAACUGGACGAGUUUCAUACUCUGCAGAGAACCAGGUCCCUAAACUUGUGAGGAGAUCAUCAAAACAUCUAAGAGCAUAAACACUUAUCAAUUUUCACCUUUUUGAUGAUGACAUACAACCUGCAUAACUCCUUAUGUGAGUGUACAAUCAUUCAUUCAUAUGGCCAUAAAUAGUAAGCAUUAUUCAAUUGGCCAAUGAACUCACUCUAUGGUGUCCUUUUGUUGAGUUGAGCAGAGUUCUUCCUUGGUUAUGACUUUCUCUGUAAGCUUAUGAAUUUUCGGAGAAAAUCCAAAUUUAGUUUGUCAAAUCUUGCGUUUGUGUUAUGUGUUAAGAGAUUAUAUAAAAAUGAACCCAAACUCCUUGGAACCGCCCAUUGGUUGAGAGCCUAUCUCUCUGGAAGGACGUGCACCUACCACAUCAGAGCUGACAACUUUUUCUGACAGCUGUCUUGUCAUUAUUUCACAUACACGAUCUUCCAGGGACCAGGUCCCUUGCAAACUUCUUUAUGGAUUUUUGAAAGGCUUGUUGGUUGACUUCCUUCUUUGAAUAAAUAAAUUUUAUAUGGUGUUUUUCAUGUUGAAAUAUCAACCAUAAAGAGUUAUUAUCCGUUGGACAAACACCCUCGUCCAUUCUGAUUGGUAUAGUACGCUGACGCCUCACCAACCUCUGACACGAUAGCUUUAUAGUUAUACCCCAUUAUAGAUCUGGACAAGAGAACUCAGAUAGGGACCAUGUCCCUUCAUUUGUGAGGAUCAUCAAAACACCUAGAAUAUAACACCAACUUAAUAAAAAAUGUUCUAUUUUUCAAAUAUCACAAUUAUUUACUUAGAACACAAAUGACGACAAUUUUGUAUUUUAAUUUGUUUAUUUUGUAUUUCAAUAUCACUUCGUACAGUGUUGGAUUUGCUAUGUUUAUUUCACAUAAACAUUACAUCAACUAUAAUCAAUCAGCAUAAAUGUCUACCUCAACGGAAUGAUCUAACAAAGCUAUUGAAUCAGACGAUAAUGUCGUAGAACUUUCCAUGAUCUGAUGGACAAUCGGUGGAGAUUGAAGAGGCUGAGGAGGUACUUCUAGCGCUUCAACUUCGCCUUCAAGCAUUUGUACUACUUUACUCAUUGAAGGGCGUAGUAUCGGAUUUGUUUGUAUGCACCAUAACGCAACCAAACUCAGCUUUCUAGCCAUCUUCUUUUCAUCAUCAUUUGCUU
rnacentral:lncRNA from 1 species